UAAAAGUACGUGAAGUGAAAAUAAUAAUCUAAUUAUGUGUUAUUUGAAGGUUACAUAAUAUUUCGGGAACUCAGAAGCCGUUGGAAGAUCGAUGUGAUAAACAAGAAAUACAUGUAUAACGCAACGAUCUUCGAGCAAAAACAUCAAAAUAAACAAAUUCGACGUCGAGAAAAAAGCAACCUCCGUUUUUCGUUUAAUCAAAAAUAUGUAGGUAAGUAUCUUCUGUUGCUUUAAGUCAACCAAGUAAACCGUGCCACGUGCAAAAAACGUACACGACGAGAUCGGGUCGACGUAAAGCUAAAUUUAGAUUCAAAGGUAGAACUGCUGGACGACGUCGCUCCUGGAGGUUCUUACGCGCGCGUGAAUCUUGAACUCGUGACAUUCGUAGUCCAAUUAAGACUACUUUCAUCGGCGAG